AACUCUCAAGGACAAGCAAGCUGACAUGGUGUCUGGACUGGAGGGAUUUAGACACAUGUAUAAAUACUGGUGAUGCCAUCAAGUGGACACGUGUUAAGGCUCCACAGCACUCCAAUGGCUCUGACAUUGCUAUUGUCUCUAAAGGUCACUCUCGGGCCCUCCAGGACACAUCCUGUGUAGUCCCUCCCGAUCACCAGUCCCUCACUUCCUGUGAAAUCAAUGGCCAACAGACUGGACUGACUGAAAUAGUCCCCUGACUGGCCUCUUUGGUACAGCAGCUGCCCAUUAAAACACGUUUUAAAGGAAAAAGCCCUUUGGAAAGCAUUGCUUUGAAAUAUCUAAAGGGUCAGAAUUUGAAUACUUUGAAGAAAGAACUCCCUGAUCUACAUACCAAGGCCUUCAGAGGAGGGAAGCAGCCACCAGGUUUAACAAGACUGUCCUCUACUGUAGAUAUAUCUGUUUCUGCUUGGCUCCACAUAGUUUGGGCAGAUUUGGGCAGGACGGGGCCUGUAGCAUGGCUGUCCAGCACUCCACUGAGUGAACAACAAAGCCAAUGAGAUUAAUAUGAGCAACAAAUAGGGCAUACUUAUACAAGUUCGUAAAUGAUUUUGCUUGUUUGAGCCAUACACUUUUCUGACUGCUUGAGUGACUUCCCACUGGGACUGGUGUGAUAGUAUAUAAAUGUUUAUGUAAAAGUUCCUGCAUAAAACCAUGUGCUGAUCAGAG